AUCAGGAAGGUCCUUUCUGUUCUGAACCAGCAAAGAAUGAGUUUAGAUUGAGGGAAAAAUGCGACUAUUUGCUGGUGUUUUCUGAGGACUUCACAUUCAUGGUUCUGAUGGAGGAGAUUUGGACCGCUUUUAUCCUUAAUCUUCAUAUUCAGACUUGUUUUCUUUGAACUGCUGUGUGUCCUAUAAAUAUUAUGUUUGUAUGUUAAGUGUAUUAUUGUACCUCAAGUCCUAUUAAAAGUUCUUUAUUCAAGUACUGUUUUCUUAAUUUAUCAUGUUUCUAUGGGUGAGGGAAGUUCCUGACAUGCUCCAUAUUUAAAACCCUCCCUUAAAUCUGAAACUAUGAAGAAAAAAAAAACUUGCAACCCAGCCAAAAAACUUAACUGCAUUGCAGCAAACAAAAUGGUUUGCCACAAUUAACCUGCAGUUUUUCUUUUCCUUCUCUUUAUUAAAAACUGACAAUUAAGUACAAUUUACAAGAAAGAAAAAGCUCCAUUCUCCCCAAAUUUACAAACACUUAGGCUCACUAAAGCAUUGAAAUUAUUUGCCGCCUUCAAACCCAUAAAUACUGUCUCAAAGAGGGAGAAGUGCAUAAAAGUGAGAUACAAUGGUCAAUCCUUUUGCUAGUCGUCAUCUUUUUCAAUGUAGGUCUUUGCAGCAAGAAGUUGCUGGGCCAGAUCUCUCUCUGGCUGAUUUUACAGUCUGGUCACUGCUGUGUUUUGCAAAUUUACUAGGUUUCUGUUGUGCAUCACUUUGGUCCUCCGGUUCCAUAUUUUCCGUUUGUCUCGCUCAUUUUUUAUUUUUGCUGUCCGUUUUCUCGGUCCCUCUGAUCUUUUGCUCCUUUGUGGUCCCAUUCCCUGUCCUUUGGGCUGUUAUCUGUCUCUCUCUCUCUCACUUGUUCUCCUUUACGGUGUCUUUCUCUUUCUUUUGGAUUUAUCUCUUCUGUCUCAUUCUCUGUCUUUUGGGCUGCUGUUUCUUCUGUUCCUGUUACCAUGUUUGUCAUCUUUGUCUCUGUCCUUCCUGUCUCAGUCUCUGUCUUCUUUUCUGUCCCUGUCUUGCUCCCUUUGUCUUCUGCGGUCCUUGUCUUCCUUUCUCCUGUCUUUUGUUUUUCUCUUUAUCUUUAUACUUUGCUCUAUCCCUGUCUCUUUCUUUGUGACUCCUUUCUUUAAUCUCUUCCCUCUCAUGCUCUCGCGCAUCAUCACUAUCUGAAAGAGAGGAUUUUUUUUUUUUUUUUUUUGUCUGUAGUGCCGUUUUGAGUGAUUGCCAACCUGGAAACCUAUAAACAUGCCCUUGAACAUUUGGAAAGAUUAAUAUGGAAUCAGUGUAAAUGCAUGUACAUAAAUAUAGGCCUAUGUCAAAUAUAACACAUCCGGAUAAUUUUUUUUAUUUUUAUAUAUCCAAUCCGCUUUAUUUAUAUAGCACAAUUUAAAUAACAAGGUUUCCAAAGUGCUGUACACCACAACAAUAAAAGACACAAUAGGAUACAAGACAAACACAAUAAAAUAAAAGUAAUAGAAUAAGAUAAAACAACAUGAAAUUAUAGAAAUCAAAUAAAUAAAAUGCACUGCACACACAACACAUUUAAAUCACAUGAAUCACGAUUACCUGGUGUUAGAAGCCAGAGUAAAGAGAUGGGUUUUAAGCACAGAUUUAAAAUGAAACAGUGAGGAGACUUGUCUGAUGUGUAAUGGCAAUACAUUCCAUAGUUUUGGAGCUGCAACAGCAAAAGCUCUUUCUCCUCUGAGUUCUUUAUAAUGUUAAGGGCUAAUUCAGUCAAUUUAAAGGUGGUUGAAAUAAGAAAUAUAGUUCCUUUGUAAAGGUGUUGUUGGUGGUGAUGGUGUUCAAGGGUCAUACAGUUGGAAUCGUACGUACGUCAACCACAACCCAAAAUAUUGUGGAUGAUCAACACACGAUUUGAUAUACAGUACUGAGCAGGUGUGCGUUAAUAAGGUUUUCCUUUUUCAUAAGUUUUUUUUCUCUCCAGUAGAUGGCAGAAAUGAGCGAAUCGCACUUAGGGUUCAGCCUAUGGUUUUUGACCUGUGGGGGGCAGUACGCCUAGCGUCUAAACUCGUAGAUCCUCAAGAAGAAGACCAGUACAUAUAAGACGAGGCGAAAUCAGGAAGGUCCUUUCUGUUCUGAACCAGCAAAGAACGAGAGCGAGUUUGGGUUGAGGGAAAAAACGAUUGUUUGCUGGUGUUUUCUGAGGACUUCACAAAUUCAUGAUUCCGAAGGAGAUUUGUACCAGUUUUUAUCCUUGACCUUCAUAUUCAGACCUGUUUUCUUUGAACUGCUGUGUGUCAUAUAAAUAUAAUGUUUGUAUGUUAAGUGUAUUAUUGUACCUCAAGUCCUAUUAAAAGUUUUUAUUCAAG